rnacentral:rRNA from 1 species
ACUACGGGUGGCAGCAGUGAGGAAUAUUGGUCAAUGGGCGCGAGCCUGAACCAGCCAAGUCGCGUGAGGGAAGACGGCCCUACGGGUUGUAAACCUCUUUUGCCGGGGAGCAACGGGCGCCACGUGUGGCGCCACUGAGAGUACCCGGAGAAAAAGCAUCGGCUAACUCCGUGCCAGCAGCCGCGGUAAUACGGAGGAUGCGAGCGUUAUCCGGUUUGAGUGGGUUAAAAGGAUGCGUAGGCGGAGCUUGAAGUCAGUGGUCAAAUUGAGGGGCUCAACCCCUUCCCGCCAUUGAAACUGGCGCUCUUGAGUGGAAGAGAAGUAUGCGGAAUGCGUGGUGUAGCGGUGAAAUGCAUAGAUAUCACGCAGAACCCCGAUUGCGAAGGCAGCAUGCCGGCUUCCGACUGACGCUGAAGCACGAAAGCGUGGGGAUCGAACAGGAUUAGAUACCCUUGUAGUC